CCGCCCCGCCCGACCCCGCGUUUCCAGCCCGCGCGCACUCACGCGCCCUAGCGGCCCGGCCGCGCACUAGGCUGGCGAGGAGCCUCUGAAUGGCGGAGAACUCGAGGCUGGGGCCUCGCUAGCCGCUCAUGCCCGCACCGAAGCAGGAUGCACUAACCAUUCUAGAAAAGUCGCUCCCGUCCCUGCAUGACUUAUAGUUACCAAUAUAUGUCCUGCGGUUCUCACAAGGGAAAAAUGCAUAACUUUAUAAAAAGCCAGUAUUCAAAGAUAAAAGUAGUAGCCCUAGUUAAGUGCUUGGAUAUGGAACCAUUGUUAGCUGAUGAAAAAACCGAGACUUUAAUUUCCUAGAUUUGCUGGCUGUGCCCUGGACUUCAGGUCCAUUUCACCUUAGCGGUCCUGUCCCCAUGACCGGGGCCUAGACCGGGACGGGGCAAUCAGGGUAAACGGACACAGCCGGGAGAUGCGCAAGCUCAGCGGAGCUCCCCCACCGCCCACUCUACUCAAGACUCUUCGUUUAUCUGCAGCCAGGUUUUUAGUUUUCUGUGAAAUGGUUUCCCGAUUCCGACCCACAAGUUCCUUAAUAUGUUUCCAAAUGAGAAACAGCAAGAAAAAGACAAAUUCUGUUCUCACGGAACCUCUAUUCUAGUAGAGGCAGUAAUUAAUUGGUCUAGAAGGCGGCUUGGGGGGUAGGGUGAGGAUGACUCCGGGAUUGGUGGCAACCCUGGGGGUGGGGAGGCACUCAGAAGGGGCUGACCAACUAAAUCUCAUGGAGAAGGUGACGCUUGCGCCAUGAAGCAAGCCAGGGACCCAGCAAGCCAUAUGGAAAGUGUUACAGGCCAAGAAACUGCAGGGUGCCAGACUAGGAGCAGGGUUAGGGUGUUGGCAACAGCAAUGAGAUCAGCUUGGCUGGAGCAGGGAGAAGAGACGUUGAGGACGUGAUGGAGGGAGCUGUGAAGGACAGAUUAGGGGAGGAUUACAUAGGUCCCCUCGUGCCAGCAGGAGCCAGCACACCAAGCACGGGGAAAGCCUGUGAAAUUCACUGCUUACCUGCUGCUGCCGCGUUCUGAGCAGUGGCAGUGCUUACCUAGCUCAGAAUCAGAAGGCACACACACUAGCCCUGGUCUGGCAUAAUGCCUUUUAAUCUAUGGGAAAGCCAGUGGCUCAGCCAAGGGAGUGUCCCAACUGUAAUGAUGAUCCCAUCAGCAGGCAGAUCUCAGCAAGGACAUGGCACCUUCAGGGAAGGUGGGUAAGCCAGGGCAGACGGGGCUGCCAGACCCCUGGAAACGGCCUUGGCAGCCAUCUGUGCCUUCACAGGCUAUCAGACCACAUUUUCCAGCAGCCCCUGGAAUGCCUGUCUUCUCAAUCACAUACCAGGAGGCUGAGACCCAACUGCUGCUCCAUAGAUAAGAAACUAGUCUUGGAGAAUCAAGAGAAGGAAAAAACAAAGCAAGCAUGUUUCCAGCCAAGAGGCAUCUGCAUCUGCGCACUCUUCCCCAGGGCCGGACCUGAGACAAGUGCAUUAGUUCUUCACCACGUGGCACUGGCACAGAGAUGCUGUCUCACACCGGAUGUGCUGAGGCUUUGCAGGGGGAGGCGGUGCUGAAAAGCUCUGCUCUAGGGUGAGGGAACAAAAUGAGAGACCCAGGAUGCCAGCAGAACAAAGGGAAGGAGACAGUCAAGCCCGGCUUCUCCCACCACUGUGCUCCUCAGGAAUGUCUUUUUCAGACCGACCCUGCCGACACCCCCCCCC